CGAACGGGUGAGUAACGCGUGAGGAACCUGCCUCAAAGAGGGGGACAACAGUUGGAAACGACUGCUAAUACCGCAUAAGCCCACGGCUCGGCAUCGAGCAGAGGGAAAAGGAGCAAUCCGCUUUGAGAUGGCCUCGCGUCCGAUUGGCUAGUUGGUGAGGUAACGGCCCACCAAGGCGACGAUCGGUAGCCGGACUGGGAGGUUGAACGGCCACAUUGGGACUGAGACACGGCCCAG
rnacentral:rRNA from 1 species